rnacentral:rRNA from 3 species
AGACCCGAAACCCGGUGAUCUAGCCAUGGGCAGGUUGAAGGUUGGGUAACACUAACUGGAGGACCGAACCGACUAAUGUUGAAAAAUUAGCGGAUGACCUGUGGCUGGGGGUGAAAGGCCAAUCAAACCGGGAGAUAGCUGGUUCUCCCCGAAAGCUAUUUAGGUAGCGCCUCGUGAAUUCAUCUCCGGGGGUAGAGCACUGUUUCGGCUAGGGGGCCAUCCCGGCUUACCAACCCGAUGCAAACUGCGAAUACCGGAGAAUGUUAUCACGGGAGACACACGGCGGGUGCUAACGUCCGUCGUGAAGAGGGAAACAACCCAGACCGCCAGCUAAGGUCCCAAAGUCAUGGUUAAGUGGGAAACGAUGUGGGAAGGCCCAGACAGCCAGGAUGUUGGCUUAGAAGCAGCCAUCAUUUAAAGAAAGCGUAAUAGCUCACUGGUCGAGUCGGCCUGCGCGGAAGAUGUAACGGGGCUAAACCAUGCACCGAAGCUGCGGCAGCGACACUAUGUGUUGUUGGGUAGGGGAGCGUUCUGUAAGCCUG